UUAGUUUUGUAAUUAAAAACUAUAAUUCUUUAAAUAAGGAUAAAAUUGUAAUUUGAAACUAUUUACUCCCAAUCCAAGAUAAAGUAAACACAUAAAUUGGAUUAUGAUCUCUAUUCCAUGCUUCCAUUCCAGUGUAAGUAAACAACCUACUCUCACUCACACUCCACACUCCCAAUCCUAGGAUUCCCACUCCUCAGGAUUCUCAAUCCAAUCCAAAAAGUAAAUGCAGCAUGAAUAUUGUAUUUGAUGUUGACAAUGAAGCCAACUUUUGCUACUAAUUAUGAAAACUAUGAGAGGUAAGGAUGGAGGUGGACUCAAGAUUUUUUAUUACCUCCAGCUAAUUUAUAAAUUUAUGGUAAAUGUUUAUGUAAACGUCGAUCCAUGUAUGUAUGUACGAUAAUAAUAUAAU
rnacentral:lncRNA from 1 species